UACGAAGGGGGCUAGCGUUGUUCGGAUUUACUGGGCGUAAAGGGCGCGUAGGCGGCGAUGUAAGUCAGGCGUGAAAGCCCCGGGCUCAACCUGGGAACGGCGCUUGAUACUGCGUUGCUUGAGGACGGGAGAGGAUGGUGGAAUUCCCAGUGUAGAGGUGAAAUUCGUAGAUAUUGGGAAGAACACCGGUGGCGAAGGCGGCCAUCUGGACCGUUACUGACGCUGAGGCGCGAAAGCGUGGGGAGCAAACAGG
rnacentral:rRNA from 1 species